rnacentral:rRNA from 1 species
AUUGACGGGGGCCCGCACAAGCGGCGGAGCAUGCGGAUUAAUUCGAUGCAACGCGAAGAACCUUACCAAGGCUUGACAUAUACCGGAAAAGUGCAGAAAUGUACUCCCCGCAAGGUCGGUAUACAGGUGGUGCAUGGUUGUCGUCAGCUCGUGUCGUGAGAUGUUGGGUUAAGUCCCGCAACGAGCGCAACCCUCGUUCUAUGUUGCCAGCACGUAAAGGUGGGAACUCAUGGGAGACUGCCGGGGUCAACUCGGAGGAAGGUGGGGAUGACGUCAAAUCAUCAUGCCCCUUAUGUCUUGGGCUUCACGCAUGCUACAAUGGCCGAUACAGAGGGCUGCAAUACCGCAAGGUGGAGCGAAUCCCAAAAAGUCGGUCUCAGUUCGGAUUGAGGUCUGCAACUCGACCUCAUGAAGUCGGAGUCGCUAGUAAUCGCAGAUCAGCAACGCUGCGGUGAAUACGUUCCCGGGCCUUGUACACACCGCCCGUCAAGUCAUGAAAGUCGGUAACACCCGAAGCCAGUGGCCUAACCGC